rnacentral:rRNA from 1 species
AACGAACGCUGGCGGCAGGCUUAACACAUGCAAGUCGAACGCCCCGCAAGGGGAGUGGCAGACGGGUGAGUAACGCGUGGGAAUCUACCCAGUUCUACGGAACAACUGAGGGAAACUUCAGCUAAUACCGUAUACGCCCUACGGGGGAAAGAUUUAUCGGAAUUGGAUGAGCCCGCGUUGGAUUAGCUAGUUGGUGAGGUAACGGCUCACCAAGGCGACGAUCCAUAGCUGGUCUGAGAGGAUGAUCAGCCACACUGGGACUGAGACACGGCCCAGACUCCUACGGGAUGCAGCAGUGGGGAAUAUUGGACAAUGGGCGCAAGCCUGAUCCAGCCAUGCCGCGUGAGUGAUGAAGGCCUUAGGGUUGUAAAGCUCUUUCAGUGGGGAAGAUAAUGACGGUACCCACAGAAGAAGCCCCGGCUAACUUCGUGCCAGCCGCCGCCGUAACAC